AAUCAAAGUUGUUCAUGCUGUGUUAGCAUUUUUCUUAUUUCUUCAAAAGUUAUGUAACUGUAUCAUAGUCAGAAUUUCAUUCUUUGCAUCAGCAAAUACUUUGGUUUAAAAGCAAGCCUGAAUUUUAAUAUUCAAAAUGAAAUUAAAUGAAAUAGAGAUAUUCCAUACAUCACAAAUAGAAAGCUAGUUCUAUAUUCAUUCAUUCAAUCAGUCAGUCAUUCAACAAAAAUGCCUGUGUUUAUAAUAAGUUCUCACUCUGUGAGCAAUUAAUGUAGGCCAAUGUCAUCAUGCCAGGAGUUUUACAGGCUUAUUACCUCAUUUAAUACCCACAGUAACUGUACAUAGAAGGUACCAUUAUCAAUCCAUUUUAUGAAUGAGAAAACUGAAUAUUAGGGAGAUUGAAUAACUUGCUCAAGUUUGCAGUUAACAGAUGGAAGAGCCCAGACCCUAACCAAGCUCUCUCUCACAGCAAAUUCCAUGUUCUUGACCACCACCAAGACUGCUCGCCAUGUGUUCACCGAGCCUUGUGUAUUGAGACUGACUUGGAACAGAUCUUUCCAAGCCAGUGUAUCAGGCCACUAAAUCUGUCACUAUGGGUUUGCCUAAAUCACUCAGACUAUGUCUAUUUUCACACGAAAUGGCUCUUCUAGUCCUAAUUUAACUUUAGUUUAAAUUAAUAUAAAACAUCAGAAUUUCUGAACUAGAAACAAUGUUAAUAACCAUCUAAAAGGUAGGAGAUGACUCAAAUAAGUGGGGCUCUGGAUUUUACUUCUUUACUUCAGAACAAUCCUACUUUUAUCCAUUUUGUAUAUUGGGAUUCCAGGAGUGAUCUCUUUUGAAGAAAGUUCUGCUGCAUAAAAAUCAAGUGUAAGGAGCAAUGAAUUUUAAUCCAAGCUUCUCAUCUUACAUAUAAGGACACUAAGGCUCUAGGUCACCCUUAAUUUUGACAAGCCCAGUUCUCUGCCUCUGUCUGAUGUUCUUUCUCCUAUAUCACAAUGUACAUGUGCUGUGUUUGUCUUAAAGACCUCAGAGAGCAGAAUCUAUCCAAGUGGUAAAAAUACUGGCAGCCAAGAAUGGGUCUACCUACCACCUGGUAGUUUACAUGCAAAGGGGAAUAAAGGAAGCCAAAUGACUGUAAGUUUCUUGCAUAAUCCACACCAGAAAGCAUUGCCUACAGACUGUAACUGCCCGCUAUUGACUCUGUUGCUUCAUGAUGAAUGCUGGAUGAAACAUCUUCAAAUUCUACCUGAUUUAUGUAUGAUGUCAACAUGACUUAAGGCCUUACGGGAUCAUCCCCAGCACUGUGAAACUGGAGGAAGAAGCAGCAUUCAAGUGAGUGAAUGUGUAUUUGGACUGAGCAAAGGGAAUAUUCUUCAAGAGAGAUUCAAAAGGCUUCUGAACGAGAUGAGUCAUAAAGGACAGCCAAGGCCUUAUCCAGAAGUGAAAUAAUAAUUCAACUUAAAAAAAAUCUGGCCUAAUGACAACUUCAGUGGAUGGAUCACAUUACCUUGAUGCAUUCUUAUCAAUGCUUACAAAAGUUGUUCAUAUCAAAGGCACCCACCCACUGAUGUGCCAGGUCCAGAAUGCACCGCCUUGUCACUCCUGG
rnacentral:lncRNA from 1 species